rnacentral:rRNA from 1 species
AUAGAGUCAAGUGAAUAAGUGCAUCAGGCGGAUGCCUUGGCGAUGAUAGGCGACGAAGGACGUGUAAGCCUGCGAAAAGCGCGGGGGAGCUGGCAAUAAAGCAAUGAUCCCGCGAUGUCCGAAUGGGGAAACCCACUGCAUUCUGUGCAGUAUCCUAAGUUGAAUACAUAGACUUAGAGAAGCGAACCCGGAGAACUGAACCAUCUAAGUACCCGGAGGAAAAGAAAUCAACCGAGAUUCCGCAAGUAGUGGCGAGCGAACGCGGAGGAGCCUGUACGUAAUAACUGUCGAGAUAGAAGAACAAGCUGGGAAGCUUGACCAUAGUGGGUGACAGUCCCGUAUUCGAAAUCUCAACAGCGGUACUAAGCGUACGAAAAGUAGGGCGGGACACGUGAAAUCCUGUCUGAAUAUGGGGGGACCAUCCUCCAAGGCUAAAUACUCAUCAUCGACCGAUAGUGAACCAGUACCGUGAGGGAAAGGCGAAAAGAACCCCGGGAGGGGAGUGAAAUAGAACCUGAAACCUGAUGCAUACAAACAGUGGGAGCACCCUAGAGGUGUGACUGCGUACCUUUUGUAUAAUGGGUCAACGACUUACAUUCAGUAGCGAGCUUAACCGAAUAGGGGAGGCGUAGGGAAACCGAGUCUUAAUAGGGCGAUGAGUUGCUGGGUGUAGACCCGAAACCGAGUGAUCUAUCCAUGGCCAGGUUGAAGGUGCCGUAACAGGUACUGGAGGACCGAACCCACGCAUGUUGCAAAAUGCGGGGAUGAGCUGUGGAUAGGGGUGAAAGGCUAAACAAACUCGGAGAUAGCUGGUUCUCCCCGAAAACUAUUUAGGUAGUGCCUCGAGCAAGACACUGAUGGGGGUAAAGCACUGUUAUGGCUAGGGGGUUAUUGCAACUUACCAACCCAUGGCAAACUAAGAAUACCAUCAAGUGGUUCCUCGGGAGACAGACAGCGGGUGCUAACGUCCGUUGUCAAGAGGGAAACAACCCAGACCGCCAGCUAAGGUCCCAAAUGAUAGAUUAAGUGGUAAACGAAGUGGGAAGGCCCAGACAGCCAGGAUGUUGGCUUAGAAGCAGCCAUCAUUUAAAGAAAGCGUAAUAGCUCACUGGUCGAGUCGUCCUGCGCGGAAGAUGUAACGGGGCUCAAAUCUAUAACCGAAGCUGCGGAUGCCGGUUUACCGGCAUGGUAGGGGAGCGUUCUGUAGGCCGAUGAAGGUGCAUUGUAAAGUGUGCUGGAGGUAUCAGAAGUGCGAAUGUUGACAUGAGUAGCGAUAAAGCGGGUGAAAAGCCCGCUCGCCGAAAGCCCAAGGUUUCCUACGCAACGUUCAUCGGCGUAGGGUGAGUCGGCCCCUAAGGCGAGGCAGAAAUGCGUAGUCGAUGGGAAACAGGUUAAUAUUCCUGUACUUGAUUCAAAUGCGAUGUGGGGACGGAGAAGGUUAGGUUGGCAAGCUGUUGGAAUAGCUUGUUUAAGCCGGUAGGUGGAAGACUUAGGCAAAUCCGGGUCUUCUUAACACCGAGAAGUGACGACGAGUGUCUACGGACACGAAGCAACCGAUACCACGCUUCCAGGAAAAGCCACUAAGCUUCAGUUUGAAUCGAACCGUACCGCAAACCGACACAGGUGGGCAGGAUGAGAAUUCUAAGGCGCUUGAGAGAACUCAGGAGAAGGAACUCGGCAAAUUGAUACCGUAACUUCGGGAGAAGGUAUGCCCUCUAAGGUUAAGGACUUGCUCCGUAAGCCCCGGAGGGUCGCAGAGAAUAGGUGGCUGCGACUGUUU